AGGCAGGACCCCCCCCUCAGCCCGCCGGGCCCCCCCCGGAGCCCCCCGAGGAGGUUUGGGCUGAGAUGGUCGACACCAAAUCCCCCGUGGAGGAUUUUGAGAAGCUGCUGCCGGACCCCGCGCACAAGUGGCCGUUCAGGCCGGACCCGUUCCAGCAGCGGGCGGCCCUGUGCCUGGAGCGGGGGCAGUCGGUGCUGGUGGCCGCCCACACCUCGGCCGGCAAAACCGCCGUGGCCGAGUACGCCAUCGCCCUGGCACGGCGCCACAUGACACGAUCCAUCUACACGUCCC